rnacentral:rRNA from 1 species
GACGAACGCUGGCGGCGUGCUUAACACAUGCAAGUCACGGGGGCCCGCAAGGGCAACCGGCGAACGGGUGCGUAACACGUGAGCAACUUUCCGAUUUGUGGGGGAUAGCCGGCCCAACGGCCGGGUAAUACCGCAUACGCUCACUGGGGGGAGUCCCCUGGUGAGGAAACCUCCGGGGCAAAUCGAGGGGCUCGCGUCCUAUCAGCUAGUUGGCGGGGUAACGGCCCACCAAGGCGACGACGGGUAGCUGGUCUGAGAGGAUGGCCAGCCACAUUGGGACUGAGAAACGGCCCAGACUCCUACGGGAGGCAGCAGUGGGGAAUCUUGCGCAAUGGCCGAAAGGCUGACGCAGCGACGCCGUGUGAGGGAGGAAGCUCUUCGGGGGUGUAAAUCUCUGUUGCCGGGAACGAAACUCUGGAUUCGUCCAGAUUGACGGUACUCGGUGAGGAAGCGCCGGCUAACUCUGUGCCAGCAGCCGCGGUAAUACAGAGGGCGCGAGCGUGUCCGGAA